GAGGGUAUAGCUCAGUGGUAAAGCAUGUGCCUAGCAUGCAUGAGGUCCUGGGUUCAAUCCCCAAUACCUCCA
rfam:Camelus ferus unplaced genomic scaffold scaffold157, whole genome shotgun sequence.